rnacentral:rRNA from 1 species
GUUGUAUGGUUAAGUGACUAAGCGUACACGGUGGAUGCCUUGGCAGUCAGAGGCGAUGAAAGACGUAGUAACUUGCGAUAAGCCCAGAUUAGGUAGUAACAACCAUUUGAGUCUGGGAUUUCUGAAUGGGGAAACCCACUUACAUAAGUAAGUAUCAUUAACUGAAUACAUAGGUUAAUGAGGCGAACCGGGGGAACUGAAACAUCUAAGUACCCCGAGGAAAAGAAAUCAACCGAGAUUCCGAAAGUAGCGGCGAGCGAAAUUGGACUAGCCCUUAAGCUUUACACGCGUUAGACGAACGGUCUGGAAAGUCCGACGAUACAGGGUGAUAGUCCCGUAGUUGACGACGUGUGUUCAGUGAAAUCGAGUAGGGCGGGACACGUGAUAUCCUGUCUGAAUAUGGGGGGACCAUCCUCCAAGGCUAAAUACUACUGACUGACCGAUAGUGAACCAGUACCGUGAGGGAAAGGCGAAAAGAACCCCUGUGAGGGGAGUGAAAUAGAACCUGAAACCGUGUACGUACAAGCAGUAGGAGCAGGCUUUGUCCUGUGACUGCGUACCUUUUGUAUAAUGGGUCAGCGACUUAUAUUCAGUGGCAAGGUUAACCAUCUAGGGGAGCCGUAGGGAAACCGAGUCUUAACUGGGCGUUCAGUCUCUGGAUAUAGACCCGAAACCAGGUGAUCUAGCCAUGGGCAGGUUGAAGGUUGAGUAACAUCAACUGGAGGACCGAACCGACUAAUGUUGAAAAAUUAGCGGAUGACUUGUGGCUAGGGGUGAAAGGCCAAUCAAACCUGGAGAUAGCUGGUUCUCCCCGAAAGCUAUUUAGGUAGCGCCUCGGACGAAUACUACUGGGGGUAGAGCACUGUUAAGGCUAGGGGGUCAUCCCGACUUACCAACCCUUUGCAAACUCCGAAUACCAGUAAGUACUAUCCGGGAGACACACGGCGGGUGCUAACGUCCGUCGUGGAGAGGGAAACAACCCAGACCGCCAGCUAAGGUCCCAAAUUACUACUAAGUGGGAAACGAUGUGGGAAGGCUCAGACAGCCAGGAUGUUGGCUUAGAAGCAGCCAUCAUUUAAAGAAAGCGUAAUAGCUCACUGGUCGAGUCGGCCUGCGCGGAAGAUGUAACGGGGCUAAGUAGUAAACCGAAGCUGCGGCAAUGUGCUUUUGCACAUUGGGUAGGGGAGCGUUCUGUAAGCGGUUGAAGGUGUGUGGUAACGCAUGCUGGACGUAUCAGAAGUGCGAAUGCUGACAUGAGUAACGAUAAAGGGGGUGAAAAACCUCCUCGCCGGAAGACCAAGGGUUCCUGUCCAACGUUAAUCGGGGCAGGGUAAGUCGACCCCUAAGGCGAGGCCGAAAGGCGUAGUCGAUGGGAAACGGGUUAAUAUUCCCGUACUUCUUACAAUUGCGAUGGGGGGACGGAGAAGGCUAGGUGGGCCUGGCGACGGUUGUCCAGGUUCAAGUGCGUAGGCUUAAGAGUUAGGUAAAUCCGGCUCUUUCUAAGGCUGAGACACGACGUCGAGCACCUACGGGUGUGAAGUCAUUGAUGCCAUGCUUCCAGGAAAAGCCUCUAAGCUUCAGAUUGUAAGGAAUCGUACCCCAAACCGACACAGGUGGUCGGGUAGAGAAUACCAAGGCGCUUGAGAGAACUCGGGUGAAGGAACUAGGCAAAAUGGUACCGUAACUUCGGGAGAAGGUACGCUCUCGACGGUGAAGUCCCUCGCGGAUGGAGCUAUUGAGAGUCGCAGAUACCAGGUGGCUGCAACUGUUUAUUAAAAACACAGCACUGUGCAAAAUCGUAAGAUGACGUAUACGGUGUGACGCCUGCCCGGUGCCGGAAGGUUAAUUGAUGGGGUUAGACUUCGGUCGAAGCUCUUGAUCGAAGCCCCGGUAAACGGCGGCCGUAACUAUAACGGUCCUAAGGUAGCGAAAUUCCUUGUCGGGUAAGUUCCGACCUGCACGAAUGGCGUAAUGAUGGCCACGCUGUCUCCACCCGAGACUCAGUGAAAUUGAAAUCGCUGUGAAGAUGCAGUGUACCCGCGGCUAGACGGAAAGACCCCGUGAACCUUUACUACAGCUUGGCACUGAACAUUGACCCUACAUGUGUAGGAUAGGUGGGAGGCUUUGAAGCACGUACGCCAGUAUGUGUGGAGCCGUCCUUGAAAUACCACCCUUGUAGUGUUGAUGUUCUAACGUCGACCCCUAAUCGGGGUUGCGGACAGUGCCUGGUGGGUAGUUUGACUGGGGCGGUCUCCUCCCAAAGAGUAACGGAGGAGCACGAAGGUGGGCUAAUCACGGUUGGACAUCGUGAGGUUAGUGCAAUGGCAUAAGCCCGCUUGACUGCGAGAAUGACAAUUCGAGCAGGUGCGAAAGCAGGUCAUAGUGAUCCGGUGGUUCUGAAUGGAAGGGCCAUCGCUCAACGGAUAAAAGGUACUCCGGGGAUAACAGGCUGAUACCGCCCAAGAGUUCAUAUCGACGGCGGUGUUUGGCACCUCGAUGUCGGCUCAUCACAUCCUGGGGCUGAAGUCGGUCCCAAGGGUAUGGCUGUUCGCCAUUUAAAGUGGUACGCGAGCUGGGUUUAGAACGUCGUGAGACAGUUCGGUCCCUAUCUGCCGUGGGCGUUGGAAGAUUGAAGGGGGCUGCUCCUAGUACGAGAGGACCGGAGUGGACGAACCUCUGGUGUUCGGGUUGUGUCGCCAGACGCAUUGCCCGGUAGCUAAGUUCGGAAUCGAUAACCGCUGAAAGCAUCUAAGCGGGAAGCGAGCCCUGAGAUGAGUCUUCCCUGAUACUUUAAGUAUCCUAAAGGGUUGUCGGAGACUACGACGUUGAUAGGUCAGGUGUGUAAGUGCUGUGAGGCAUUGAGCUAACUGAUACUAAUUGCCCGUGAGGCUUAACCAUACAACACCCAAGGGGUUU